AUGCUGUGGUGGGGGCAUGUUGCAAUGCUCUCCUGGAAUCUCUCCCAAGCUUCUGGAAUGGCUUCAUCCGAAAGCUGCUGAAAGCCAGAGAUCUUGCCUCGGAGGGC